CGCCGAAAACCCCCGACGCCAUUUUUUCGUUGUGCCCAAAGCGAUUUAGAGACGACUACCAAACCAAACCACCACAACCACCGUAGGAGGAGGAGGAGGAGGAGCGAUCGGCUAUGUCGCAAGGAAGCGGAAGCGUCGUCGGCGGAGGAGGGGGGCGGGAUUUUCAAUUGCCGAACGAGAUCAUGGUGGUGAUUCCGAGAGACCAGUACGAGCAGUUGGAUCUGGCGAGGAAGAUCACGUCGAUGGCGAUAGCCACUAGGGUUUCG
rnacentral:lncRNA from 1 species